UACGUAGGGGGCAAGCGUUGUCCGGAUUCAUUGGGCGUAAAGAGCGUGUAGGCGGCCAGGUAGGUCGGUUGUGAAAACUGGAGGCUCAACCUUCAGAGGUCGACCGAAACCAUCUGGCUAGAGUCCGGGAGAGGAGAGUGGAAUUCCUGGUGUAGCGGUGAAAUGCGCAGAUAUCAGGAAGAACACCCGUGGCGAAAGCGGAUCUCUGGGCCAUUACUGACGCUGAGGAGCGAAAGCGUGGGGAGCGAACAGG
rnacentral:rRNA from 1 species